AUGGACUCAAGAAAAAGAAAGCAAAGGCAAGACGAGUCAGAUUCUGAUACAGAAUCUGAAUCUGAACCAAGUGAUGAGAGCGAAGAAUCAUCGCCUGCGGAGAAGGAGAAGAAAAAGAAAGAAACAAAAACAACUCCAAAAAAAACACAACAAAAAAAGAAAAAAGUUGUUGUGGAUGAUUCACCUCCUGAAGAAGAUCAAUACUUUGACGGUGAGAGAUAUGAAAUAUCAAGUGACGAACUCGAUGAAUGGCUAAGGGAAAACGUUGAUAAAUCUGCUGCAGAGGGGGAGAACCAAGCUGACCUGCGAUCGACAGAAGGUCGCUAUGUGUCCUCUGAAACACUACCGGCUGUGAACUUGGGAAGUGAUGAUCCUUCCUCUCAAGGACGCACAGAACAGAGUAGUGUAAACCAGCCGUCUCAGAGCAUGUUGACUCCGAC